AAGGAGGUAAACAUUAAAAUGUUCCCCUGCAAGCUGUGUUAGGAGCCUCAGAAACAUUGAAGUCAUUGAGGUCCCUGAAAAUGGCUGCAGGG
rnacentral:snoRNA from 1 species